rnacentral:rRNA from 1 species
CUACGGGCGGCUCCAGUGAGGAAUAUUGCACAAUGGGGUGAACCCUGAUGCAGCAACGCCGCGUGGAGGAUGACGCAUUUCGGUGUGUAAACUCCUUUUAUAUGUCAAGAAAAUGACGGUAGCAUAUGAAUAAGCACCGGCUAACUCCGUGCCAGCAGCCGCGGUAAUACGGAGGGUGCAAGCGUUACUCGGAAUGACUGGGCGUAAAGGACGCGUAGGCGGGUUGGAAAGUCAGGUGUGAAAUCCUACAGCUUAACUGUAGAACUGCACUUGAAACUUCUAAUCUAGAGUAUGGGAGGGGGAGAUGGAAUUAGUGGUGUAGGGGUAAAAUCCGUAGAUAUCACUAGGAAUACCUAAAGCGAAGGCGAUCUCCUGGAACAUUACUGACGCUAAGGCGUGAAAGCGUGGGGAGCAAACAGGAUUAGAUACCCGGGUAGUC